rnacentral:lncRNA from 1 species
UUUGCAAUACAGGUUUGUACAAAUUUAUUAUUAAUUUAGUUUUUCAUUUGAAUCAUAUUUCGUACUUUCGGUCAUAUUUUAGAUACAUUUUUUUCCUUAAUUUUUUUAUUUGAACCUUUGGUAUGAUUACCUUUAAAAAAUACCAUCAUAAAUCAUAUUAAUCCAAUCAUUGCCGGGGCGCGUGUCUCUGUUUAAUGCAAAGUAUACAAAUUUUGAAGGUGUUAAUCCUUUAAUUAGUUUACGUGACUGCCAAUUAUCAAAUAAUGUUACAAAUAUUAAUGUGAAUUUAUUUAUUUUGAAUUAUAUUUUGACAUAUAAUAUUGUAUUUGACGUUGUUUUUUUUUAUAUUCUUUUGUGCAAAAAUACACUAUUAUAUUUUGUAUCACUUUUAUACAAAUGUUUUUCGUUCAGGCUCCAGCAGUAAUAGAAGCACCACCAUCACCCCACCAGCACCAACUUCUCCACAACCACUUGACGAUACCAGACCAUUCAUUUGAUAUUGCACUAACUUUAUUGAGUUCAUGAAGUAAAUGAUCAUAAUAUAGAACAUUUUUGUAUGUUUAGUGCUUUACUUGUGACUUUUAUAACUGCAUGUUUAUGAAUUUUAGAUUAGUGCUUUAUGUUAUUAUAUGUGUGAGUGUGAAUAUAGAUGUUUGAAUAAUUGGUGAAAUGUGUAUGCAGUGAAAUAAAUGAAUGAGUGACAUGAGUAUAUGAGAGAAAAAGUAUGAGAUGGUUAAAUGAAAAAAUGUAUAUAAGAUGGAAUGGUUUAUAUAUGUUUGUUGUAUAUUUGUUUAUCGGUAUGACUGAAAUAAUAAAUAAAAUAUAUUAAACCAAAAUAUUAUCUUUUUGUGUUUUU